rnacentral:rRNA from 1 species
AUGAACGCUGGCGGCGUGCCUAAUGCAUGCAAGUCGAGCGAACAGACGAGGAGCUUGCUCCUCUGACGUUAGCGGCGGACGGGUGAGUAACACGUGGAUAACCUACCUAUAAGACUGGGAUAACUUCGGGAAACCGGAGCUAAUACCGGAUAAUAUAUUGAACCGCAUGGUUCAAUAGUGGAAGACGGUUUUGCUGUCACUUAUAGAUGGAUCCGCGCCGCAUUAGCUAGUUGGUAAGGUAACGGCUUACCAAGGCAACGAUGCGUAGCCGACCUGAGAGGGUGAUCGGCCACACUGGAACUGAGACACGGUCCAGACUCCUACGGGAGGCAGCAGUAGGGAAUCUUCCGCAAUGGGCGAAAACCUGACGGAGCAACGCCGCGUGAGUGAUGAAGGUCUUCGGAUCGUAAAACUCUGUUAUUAGGGAAGAACAAAUGUGUAAGUAACUAUGCACGUCUUGACGGUACCUAAUCAGAAAGCCACGGCUAACUACGUG